rnacentral:misc_RNA from 1 species
AACUGAGGCAAUAUCGAGUGACACAUGGCGGCCGGUGAUUGCCUGGAUCUCAAAGAGGUUGGUGGUUUUGUGAGCAUCUGUGCUCUGACCAUAAGCCACCUCGGCUCCGUCUGAGUUUUAAGCAUAUGCGCGUACAAAGUAAGUGGCGGCAGGCACGUCACGCUCGACGGUCCAUGUAAAGGAUUGGUUAUUGUUGCCAGAAGUGUAAGGCCUGGAAACGAUGGUGAAUUGGCAAGUCUUGUCCUUGGAUAGGUUGUCCUCGGUUUUUCUCCAAGCGCGG